rfam:Canis lupus familiaris chromosome 14, whole genome shotgun sequence.
ACCUGGGUGGCUCAGUAGUUGAGCAUCUGCCUUUGUCUCAGGUCAUGAUCCUGGGGUCCUGGGUUCGAGUCCCACCUCAGGUU